rnacentral:tRNA from 1 species
GCUUUUAAAGGAAAAUAGUUCAUCCAUUGGCUUUAGGAGCCACCUCCCCUAGUGCAAGUCCAGGUAAAAGCU